CCUACGGGAGGCUGCAGUAGGGAAUCUUCCACAAUGGGCGAAAGCCUGAUGGAGCAACGCCGCGUGGGUGAAGAAGGUCUUCGGAUCGUAAAACUCUGUUGUCAGAGAAGAAAGUGCGUGAGAGUAACUGUUCACGUUUCGACGGUAUCUAACCAGAAAGCCACGGCUAACUACGUGCCAGCAGCCGCGGUAAUACGUAGGUGGCAAGCGUUAUCCGGAUUUAUUGGGCGUAAAGGGAACGCAGGCGGUCUUUUAAGUCUGAUGUGAAAGCCUUGGGCUUAACCGGAGUAGUGCAUUGGAAACUGGGAGACUUGAGUGCAGAAGAGGAGAGUGGAACUCCAGGUGUAGCGGUGAAAUGCGUAGAUAUAUGGAGGAACACCAGUGGCGAAAGCGGCUCUCUGGUCUGUAACUGACGCUGACGUUCGAAAGCGUGGGUAGCAAACAGGAUUAGAUACCCUUGUAGUC
rnacentral:rRNA from 1 species